AUCUGUACCAUUCUGCCCAGGCAAAUAUGAAAGAAAACUGGAGAACAUUAAUAACAGUAACAGUUAAUGUCUUAUGUUUUAAAAAAAAUUCUGAGACCCUUAUAUUUAUUAUCUCAUCUCUCCACAAUUCAUGCUAAGUCACUUCAAUAGUAUCCGACUCUUUGAGACCCUAUGGACUGUAGCCCACCAGGAUUCUCUGUCCAUGGGAUUCUCCAGCUAAGAAUACCAGAGUGGGUUGCCAUUUCCUCCUCCAGGGGGUCUUCCCAAGCCAGGGAUCGAACCUGCACCUCUUGCAUCUCCUGCACUGGCACGUGGGUUCCUUACCAGUAGCACUACCUGGGAAUCUCCAUGAUAAGAUGAGAUAUGAGAUAUGUACUAAUGUCCCCAUAUACAGUGGAAGGCAGCUACUUGCUCAAAGUUAGCAUUCCAACUUUGGUUAAAAAGAACUGUCCCAUAAGACAUGAACAUGUUUUAGAAUGUCAACUUAAGAACAAUUAUUUUUAAUUUUUUUUUAAUUUUAAGCUACAGUUAUUAAAUUUCCUAUGUUUCUAUUCAUAUAUUCCAAACGGUACUAGGGAGGGCAGAAUAUGCUUAAGAAAAAAAGGAUCAUGAAACCAACAGAAUAAAUAGAAGUUAUAAUGAAUUAUACAGGGCAUUACCUUUAUUUCAAGUAAUCCACAACCAUGCACAAAUGUUCUUUGCUGUUGCUAUUUUUAACAAAUCUUCAAUGACACUGUACAUGUCAGUUUGUAGGAACACUGUAGUACCAGGCAAUUGCAAAAUGUUGGGCUAGUUCAUUGUGAUUUUUCCCAGGCAAGCUCUGGGGACCACAAUAAGACAGAUCCACAGCCUAUGACAGAGACUUUACCUACCCAUUUGUUAGCACUGAACCUUUACUAAGCUGUACCAAAGUGGAGAGAUGGAACCAAAUGAUAGCUAGGAAUACCAGUGAGUACAAGAUGGCUGAGAGAGGUAACAACAACCAAAAACGGGGCAUACGGUAAAGAUAAUACCACUACUUACUGAGCACUUAUGUGCCAGCACUUAUAUGUAUAAAUGUCUUACACGUUGUAACACAUUUAAUCCUAACUAGCCUAUGGGUGCUGCUGCUGCUGCUGCUAAGUCGCUUCAGUCAUGUCCGUUUCUGUGCGACCACAGAGAUGGCAGCCCACCAGGCUCCUCUGUCCCUGGGAUUCUCCAGGCAAGAAUACUGGAGUGGGUUGCCAUUUCCUUCUCCAAGCCUAUGGGUAAGUACUGUUAUCAUCUCCAUUUUAUAGAUGUGGAGAAAAAAAAAGAGACAAAGAUUAACUUGCCUAAAGACAUACACUAGUGAGUAGUGGAGCUGGGUUACUAACAGAGACAAUGCUUUUAACUCCUACGGUAACUCCUCUCCACCAUCAGUAUGAAAAGAAUUGAUACCACUAUCAAAGAUGCUCAAACAUAGCCCAGUCAGGUAGAGAAGAAAGAAAAAUCCCUAUCAAAUAAAAAUUUCAGAGACCUCUUUGGUGGUCCAGUGGUUAAGAAUCCACCUGCCAUUGCUGGGGACACAGGUCUGAUCCCUGGCCCCACACGCUGCAGGGCAACUAAGCCUGUACACCACAACUACUGAGCCUGAGCAUCUUAGUCAAUGCUCUGUGAUGAGAAGGCCUUGUAACGCAACAGAGAGUAGCCCCCACUCGCCACAACUAGAGGAAGCCCACAGGCAGCAACCAAGAACCAGCACAGCCAAAGAUAAACAGAUAAAAAUUUCCACUAGUAAGACAGUGCAGUGAUAACUGGUACAAGGUCAGAAAAGGAAAAGCUAAUGGUUCACAUCUAGUAACUUUGAUGUAAUUAAUAUUACUAUAUAGCUUAUUUAUCACAGCAAUAUUAUAUCCAUAAAUUAACCUUGUUCCACCAAAUAAUCCACCAGGAUAAACUGUACUAGAAAACCUAUUUAAAGUGACACAAUCCCUCAUUAAAAACUAACAGUCAGCAGGAAAUACUGAUUUGCUUAUUUCCAGGAACAAAUACAGAUACAAAUUGUUUUCCAAUUGUACACAUGUAUUACAAGACUGAGAAACCCCAUAAAAAUCCUAUCCCACAUGCCUAAUUUUCACAUAUACUCCUAGAGAAAAAGGGAUAAAAGAUAAUUCUGAACAGGAACUGAAAAGCAGUUUUUCUAUUGGAAGGGAAAUACAAAUCUAUGGAGAGCUGAAAAAAUAAGAAAAAUGUAAUGUCCCCUUACCGAUUUAUAGAUACCGCAUUAAGUAUAAUGUUGUUUAUUCAGAAAACACUGCUUGGUAGAUAUGUUCUAACUGAUUUUUGGAUCAUAUAUACAAAUAGACCUAUGUUUUGUUGAAAACUUAUGAGUUACUGACUUUAUGAAGAAUGUAAUAGCUUUUACAUGCCGGUUCAUAAUCAGCUGUUAAAAUAAAAAACACAACACAGUGGAAUAAACACAAUUAUUAUCCUCUCUAGAUUUAAGACAACUGUGAAUCGAGAAACCCCAAGUUAACUGAUAAAGACUUUGCCACAAGUUACUCUGCCUAUUUGUAGUUUCAUUUCCUAAGAGAAACCAAUGAGUUUGUUCUACUUUAUUUUAUAGAUGCUUUUCAUUUUAUUUUUAUUUACUUAUUUUUGGCUGCGCUGGGUCUUUGCUGCUUUGCAUGGCCUUCUCUGGCUGUGCAAGUUUUCAUUGCGAUGGCGUCUCUUGUUGCAAAGCACAUGCUCUAGGUGUGAGGACUUCAUUAGUUGUGGCUCACAGUCUCUGGAGCCCAGCCUCAGCAGCUGUGGUGCCCAGGCUCAGUUGCUCCACAGUACAUGGAAUCUUCCUGGGUCAGGAAUGAAACCCGUGUCUCUUACAUUGGCAGGCGGAUUCCUAUCCACUGUGCCACCAGGGAAGUCCUUUGUGGAUGCUUUAAGAAUUCUUACAGAACUUAUGAAGACUGAAUCCUGGUGGAAACAAGUCACUCUAUUUUUAUAGGAAAGAGAAAAGGUUGGAGUAAAAUUGGUUUUCUAGCUCCUUGCAAUGGAGAUUCACACUGGCAGUAAGAAAUAAAACCUAGAAAGAAGAGAAGGGUUAGAGAAGUGGCACGCUGAAGAAGGAGAGGCUAAGUCAGUGCCCCAUUAUAGUUUGUUUCCAUGCCUGAUAAUAUUGGUUCCUCUCAACUAAACAUGAUCCUGAAGGCAAUGAGAUAUUCAAUAGGACAGAAUACUUACAACAAAGCCUGAAUCAAGAUUAGCAUUAUCUGGGAGAGGGGUCAGUAAACAUUUUUAUAAAAGACAUAUGGUCUCUGCAAUGACCCCUCUUUGCUGUAGUAGUGUAAAGGCAGCCAUAGGUAAUAUCUGAACAAACGAACGUGGCUAUGUUGCACAGAACUUUGUUUAUGGACAAUGAAAUUUGAAUUUCAUAUAAUCUUCACAUGGCAUGAAUUACUCUUCCUCCCCAAACAUCUAAAAAUUUUAGACCUAUCCUUGGCUCACUGGCCAUACCAAAACAUGUAGCAGAAAGAUCUGAAGCAUGAGCUAUUAUUUGCCACUCCCUGAUCUAAAUAAAAUACUCAAAAUUUAAAAAAACACACCAACACCUAAUCCAGAACAUAUCUUUUUUAGGACUUAGAUACUGGGCUAUAGAUCAUAAUGUUCCAGUGAAGUACCUAGGAUUCACAGUCACUUUGAUAAUGUGCAGAGGAGAAUAGAGAGGAUUAACUUGAACUCAUAAGUAGUUCUAAAGUAGUGAAUAAGAAUUUGAAGGUGUUAGCAAUUUUUUAAUCCAUGUCUCUAGUAAGAAUCAGUGUAGCUUAAUUUAAGUACUGUCCAGGAAGCAAUACCUUUAAGGGAAUUUACUCAAACUGGAUCACAAGCAAUUAUGAGGAAUGUCAGACAUGACUUCAAAUGCUUUGUGAUUUUUGGACAGUGUAAUUGAAAUUUUCUAAUAGAACUUUGCCUUAUUCUAAUUUUUAUGCUAGAAAUAGCUUGACAAAUAAAUCUGAAUAAGCAUAAGAAACACAUCUGUAUGUAAAUCCAUGGCUGAUUCAUAUCAAUGUAUGACAAAACCCACUGGAAAAAAAAAAUAAUAAUAAUAAAAAUAAAUAAAUAAAUAAAAAAGAAA